AGCACAUCCAUCGUCCACCUGGACUGCAGAGUGGACGCCACGAUCUUCUCUUGUACCAAAUCCCAUACGUCUCCAUUUGAUCUGGAAAAUAACCAUGACUGAGCCCCACCCGCAGCCCUGGUGGCCCUGACCACACAUGCACACUGACGAACUGCUCCCAUUUUGCUCAGCUCCUGCAGCCCGUCCGACAGAAGCAGCACCACGUCCUCCGCACUCAUCAGCCUUUGGUAUCUCGGAGCCUGUCUGGUCCAGAGGACCUGGGCACCCAUGGGUGGACACCACAAGCCCUCCCUGUCAGCCUGUCAGAGCCCUGUGGUUCCCCUAGGAGGACACGUGACUCUGAAGUGUCAGUUUCCCCUUCCCUUUGCCACAUUCAAACUAUUCAGAAGAGAGGGGACCCGCAGCCGUGAGCUCCAGAGACGUCGUUCCAACAGCUU